GUGAUCGCUUCGGCUGCACAUAUACUAAAAUUGGAAUGAUACAGAGAAGAUUAGCAUGGCCCCUGCACAAGGAUGACACGCAAAUUCAUGAAGCGUUCCAUGUUUUU